rnacentral:rRNA from 1 species
GAACUGGCGCUGGUUCGGUAUCGCGAGUCCGUACGUAUUAACAACUUCCUUCGGGAAGUGCAUAAAGUGGCGCACGGGUGAGUAACACGUAAGUAAUCUACCCUCGAGUGGGGAAUAACGUUCGGAAACGGACGCUAAUACCGCAUAACGCAGCGGCACCGCAAGGUGACAGUUGUUAAAGGAGCAACCCGCUUGAGGAGGAGCUUGCGGCAGAUUAGCUAGUUGGUAGGGUAAUGGCUUACCAAGGCUACGAUCUGUAUCCGGUCUAAGAGGACGGUCGGACACACUGACACUGAAUAACGGGUCAGACUCCUACGGGAGGCAGCAGUCGGGAAUUUUGGGCAAUGGGCGAAAGCCUGACCCAGCAACGCCGCGUGAAGGAUGAAGUAUUUCGGUAUGUAAACUUCGAAAGAAUAGGAAGAAUAAAUGACGGUACUAUUUAUAAGCUCCGGCUAACUACGUGCCAGCAGCCGCGGUAAUACGUAGGGAGCAAGCGUUGUUCGGAUUUACUGGGCGUAAAGGGCGCGUAGGCGGCGCGGUAAGUCACUUGUGAAAUCUCUGAGCUUAACUCAGAACGGCCAAGUGAUACUGCAGUGCUAGAGUGCAGAAAGGGCAAUCGGAAUUCUUGGUGUAGCGGUGAAGUGCGUAGAUAUCAAGAGGAACACCUGAGGCGAAGGCGGUUUGCUAGGCUGACACUGACGCUGAGGCGCGAAGGCCAGGGGGAGCAAACGGGAUUAGAUACCCGGUAGUCCUGCUCUAACGAUGAAUACUUGGUGUCUGGAGUUCAAUACUCGGGUGCCGUCGCUACGUUUAGUAUCGCCUGGG